ACUUAAAUUGAAGAGUUUGAUCAUGGCUCAGAUUGAACGCUGGCGGCAGGCCUAACACAUGCAAGUCGAGCGGUAGCACAGAGAGCUUGCUCUCGGGUGACGAGCGGCGGACGGGUGAGUAAUGUCUGGGAAACUGCCUGAUGGAGGGGGAUAACUACUGGAAACGGUAGCUAAUACCGCAUAAUGUCGCAAGACCAAAGUGGGGGACCUUCGGGCCUCAUGCCAUCAGAUGUGCCCAGAUGGGAUUAGCUAGUAGGUGGGGUAAUGGCUCACCUAGGCGACGAUCCCUAGCUGGUCUGAGAGGAUGACCAGCCACACUGGAACUGAGACACGGUCCAGACUCCUACGGGAGGCAGCAGUGGGGAAUAUUGCACAAUGGGCGCAAGCCUGAUGCAGCCAUGCCGCGUGUGUGAAGAAGGCCUUCGGGUUGUAAAGCACUUUCAGCGGGGAGGAAGGCGGUGAGGUUAAUAACCUCAUCGAUUGACGUUACCCGCAGAAGAAGCACCGGCUAACUCCGUGCCAGCAGCCGCGGUAAUACGGAGGGUGCAAGCGUUAAUCGGAAUUACUGGGCGUAAAGCGCACGCAGGCGGUCUGUCAAGUCGGAUGUGAAAUCCCCGGGCUUAACCUGGGAACUGCAUUCGAAACUGGCAGGCUAGAGUCUUGUAGAGGGGGGUAGAAUUCCAGGUGUAGCGGUGAAAUGCGUAGAGAUCUGGAGGAAUACCGGUGGCGAAGGCGGCCCCCUGGACAAAGACUGACGCUCAGGUGCGAAAGCGUGGGGAGCAAACAGGAUUAGAUACCCUGGUAGUCCACGCCGUAAACGAUGUCGAUUUGGAGGUUGUGCCCUUGAGGCGUGGCUUCCGGAGCUAACGCGUUAAAUCGACCGCCUGGGGAGUACGGCCGCAAGGUUAAAACUCAAAUGAAUUGACGGGGGCCCGCACAAGCGGUGGAGCAUGUGGUUUAAUUCGAUGCAACGCGAAGAACCUUACCUGGUCUUGACAUCCACAGAACUUUCCAGAGAUGGAUUGGUGCCUUCGGGAACUGUGAGACAGGUGCUGCAUGGCUGUCGUCAGCUCGUGUUGUGAAAUGUUGGGUUAAGUCCCGCAACGAGCGCAACCCUUAUCCUUUGUUGCCAGCGGUUCGGCCGGGAACUCAAAGGAGACUGCCAGUGAUAAACUGGAGGAAGGUGGGGAUGACGUCAAGUCAUCAUGGCCCUUACGACCAGGGCUACACACGUGCUACAAUGGCAUAUACAAAGAGAAGCGACCUCGCGAGAGCAAGCGGACCUCAUAAAGUAUGUCGUAGUCCGGAUUGGAGUCUGCAACUCGACUCCAUGAAGUCGGAAUCGCUAGUAAUCGUAGAUCAGAAUGCUACGGUGAAUACGUUCCCGGGCCUUGUACACACCGCCCGUCACACCAUGGGAGUGGGUUGCAAAAGAAGUAGGUAGCUUAACCUUCGGGAGGGCGCUUACCACUUUGUGAUUCAUGACUGGGGUGAAGUCGUAACAAGGUAACCGUAGGGGAACCUGCGGUUGGAUCACCUCCUUACCUUAAAGAA
rnacentral:rRNA from 1 species